GCCUCCUUGGCUCAGUUGGCUAGAGCGCGAGUCUCAUAAUCUCGAGGUCGCAAGUUCGAGCCUUGCAGGGGGCA
rnacentral:tRNA from 1 species